rnacentral:rRNA from 1 species
AUUGAACGCUGGCGGCAGGCUUAACACAUGCAAGUCGAGCGGGGUGAUGGUGCUUGCACUAUCACUUAGCGGCGGACGGGUGAGUAAUGCUUAGGAAUCUGCCUAUUAGUGGGGGACAACAUCUCGAAAGGGAUGCUAAUACCGCAUACGUUCUACGAGAGAAAGCAGGGGAUCACUUGUGACCUUGCGCUAAUAGAUGAGCCUAAGUCGGAUUAGCUAGUUGGUGGGGUAAAGGCCUACCAAGGCGACGAUCUGUAGCGGGUCUGAGAGAAUGAUCCGCCACACUGGGACUGAGACACGGCCCAGACUCCUACGGGAGGCAGCAGUGGGGAAUAUUGGACAAUGGGGGGAACCCUGAUCCAGCCAUGCCGCGUGUGUGAAGAAGGCCUUAUGGUUGUAAAGCACUUUAAGCGAGGAGGAGGCUCUUUUGGUUAAUACCCAAGAUGAGUGGACGUUACUCGCAGAAUAAGCACCGGCUAACUCUGUGCCAGCAGCCGCGGUAA